rnacentral:rRNA from 1 species
GAUGAACGCUGGCGGCGUGCUUAACACAUGCAAGUCGAACGGUGAAAGCGGAGCUUGCUCCGCUGGAUCAGUGGCGAACGGGUGAGUAACACGUGAGCAAUCUGCCCCUGACUCUGGGAUAAGCGCUGGAAACGGCGUCUAAUACCGGAUACGAGCUGCGAAGGCAUCUUCAGCAGCUGGAAAGAACUUCGGUCAGGGAUGAGCUCGCGGCCUAUCAGCUAGUUGGUGAGGUAACGGCUCACCAAGGCGUCGACGGGUAGCCGGCCUGAGAGGGUGACCGGCCACACUGGGACUGAGACACGGCCCAGACUCCUACGGGAGGCAGCAGUGGGGAAUAUUCCACAAUGGGCGAAAGCCUGAUGCAGCAACGCCGCGUGAGGGACGACGGCCUUCGGGUUGUAAACCUCUUUUAGCAGGGAAGAAGCGAAAGUGACGGUACCUGCAGAAAAAGCGCCGGCUAACUACGUGCCAGCAGCCGCCGUAA